CCUACGGGAGGCAGCAGUGGGGAAUAUUGGACAAUGGGGGAAACCCUGAUGCAGCGACGCCGCGUGAGUGAAGAAGUAUUUCGGUAUGUAAAGCUCUAUCAGCAGGGAAGAAAAUGACGGUACCUGAGUAAGAAGCUCCGGCUAAAUACGUGCCAGCAGCCGCGGUAAUACGUAGGGAGCAAGCGUUAUCCGGAUUUACUGGGCGUAAAGGGAGCGUAGACGGUGUGGCAAGUCUGAUGUGAAAGUCCGGGGCUCAACCCCGGGACUGCAUUGGAAACUGUAAGACUGGAGUACAGGUGAGGUAGGCGGAAUUCGUAGUGUAGCGGUGAAAUGCGUAGAUAUUAGGAGGAACACCAGUGGCGAAGGCGGCCUACUGGACUGUGACUGACGCUGAGGCUCGAAAGCGUGGGGAGCAAACAGGAUUAGAUACCCCAGUAGUC
rnacentral:rRNA from 1 species